UGACGGCCAUAUCACGUUGAAACACCAGUUCUUGUACGAUCACCGAAGUUAAGCAACGCCGAGCCUGGCCAGUACCUAGAAGGGUGCCUAUAUGGAAAUACCAGGUGAUGUAA